rnacentral:tRNA from 1 species
UAAAACUUUAAGUUAUAAAAACUAAAAGCCUUCAAAGCUUAAAAAAAGGGCCUCCCCUUAAGUUUUAA